rnacentral:rRNA from 1 species
UUCGGCUAGGGGGCCAUCCCGGCUUACCAACCCGAUGCAAACUACGAAUACCGAAGAAUGUUAUCACGGGAGACACACGGCGGGUGCUAACGUCCGUCGUGAAGAGGGAAACAACCCAGACCGCCAGCUAAGGUCCCAAAGUCAUGGUUAAGUGGGAAACGAUGUGGGAAGGCACAGACAGCCAGGAUGUUGGCUUAGAAGCAGCCAUCAUUUAAAGAAAGCGUAAUAGCUCACUGGUCGAGUCGGCCUGCGCGGAAGAUGUAACGGGGCUAAACCAUGCACCGAAGCUGCGGCAGCGACACUAUGUGUUGUUGGGUAGGGGAGCGUUCUGUAAGCCGUCGAAGGUGUGCUGUGAGGCAUGCUGGAGGUAUCAGAAGUGCGAAUGCUGACAUAAGUAACGAUAAAGCGGGUGAAAAGCCCGCUCGCCGGAAGACCAAGGGUUCCUGUCCAACGUUAAUCGGGGCAGGGUGAGUCGACCCCUAAGGCGAGGCCGAAAGGCGUAGUCGAUGGGAAACAGGUUAAUAUUCCUGUACUUGGUGUUACUGCGAAGGGGGGACGGAGAAGGCUAUGUCAGCCGGGCGACGGUUGUCCCGGUUUAAGCAUGUAGGCGGAGGUUCCAGGUAAAUCCGGUACCUUUUAACGCUGAGGUGUGAUGACGAGGCACUACGGUGCUGAAGUGAUAAAUGCCCUGCUUCCAGGAAAAGCCUCUAAGCAUCAGGUAACACGAAAUCGUACCCCAAACCGACACAGGUGGUCAGGUAGAGAAUACCAAGGCGCUUGAGAGAACUCGGGUGAAGGAACUAGGCAAAAUGGUGCCGUAACUUCGGGAGAAGGCACGCUGAUAUGUAGGUGAAGCCCCUGCGGGCGGAGCUGAAAUCAGUCGAAGAUACCAGCUGGCUGCAACUGUUUAUUAAAAACACAGCACUGUGCAAACACGAAAGUGGACGUAUACGGUGUGACGCCUGCCCGGUGCCGGAAGGUUAAUUGAUGGGGUUAGCGGCAACGCGAAGCUCUUGAUCGAAGCCCCGGUAAACGGCGGCCGUAACUAUAACGGUCCUAAGGUAGCGAAAUUCCUUGUCGGGUAAGUUCCGACCUGCACGAAUGGCGUAAUGAUGGCCAGGCUGUCUCCACCCGAGACUCAGUGAAAUUGAACUCGCUGUGAAGAUGCAGUGUACCCGCGGCAAGACGGAAAGACCCCGUGAACCUUUACUAUAGCUUGACACUGAACACUGGUCCUUGAUGUGUAGGAUAGGUGGGAGGCUUUGAAGCGUGGACGCCAGUCUGCGUGGAGCCAACCUUGAAAUACCACCCUUUAAUGGCUGGUGUUCUAACGUGGACCCGUUACCCGGGUUGCGGACAGUGUCUGGUGGGUAGUUUGACUGGGGCGGUCUCCUCCCAAAGAGUAACGGAGGAGCACGAAGGUUGGCUAAUCCUGGUCGGACAUCAGGAGGUUAGUGCAAUGGCAUAAGCCAGCUUGACUGCGAGCGUGACGGCGCGAGCAGGUGCGAAAGCAGGUCAUAGUGAUCCGGUGGUUCUGAAUGGAAGGGCCAUCGCUCAACGGAUAAAAGGUACUCCGGGGAUAACAGGCUGAUACCGCCCAAGAGUUCAUAUCGACGGCGGUGUUUGGCACCUCGAUGUCGGCUCAUCACAUCCUGGGGCUGAAGUAGGUCCCAAGGGUAUGGCUGUUCGCCAUUUAAAGUGGUACGCGAGCUGGGUUUAGAACGUCGUGAGACAGUUCGGUCCCUAUCUGCCGUGGGCGCUGGAGAAUUGAGGGGGGCUGCUCCUAGUACGAGAGGACCGGAGUGGACGCAUCACUGGUGUUCGGGUUGUCAUGCCAAUGGCACUGCCCGGUAGCUAAAUGCGGAAGAGAUAAGUGCUGAAAGCAUCUAAGCACGAAACUUGCCCCGAGAUGAGUUCUCCCUGAGACUUUAAGUCUCCUGAAGGAACGUUGAAGACGACGACGUUGAUAGGUCGGGUGUGUAAGCGCAGCGAUGCGUUGAGCUAACCGAUACUAAUGAACCGUGAGGCUUAACCUU